rnacentral:lncRNA from 1 species
GGUGAUGAAGAAGAUUAAGAAUGAUUCCAUAACGGUCAGUACAGUAUUUCACAUUCACUGACCUUUUGUGUAAUUUGAUAUGCUCUUCAGGAAGUCAGCCACGCUAAACCAUCAUUCAAGAAUGAGUGUGAAAUCAAGACAUUUCAGCAAUGCAAUUCUAAGGAAGUUUACCAUCUGGAGACCCAUUGAAAAUCCACAGAGGUGUGGGACACAAGAAACAAUCGUGAGCAGGCAAGUGGGAAAUUUAGUUAAUUUACUUUUCAAAAGCCUACAUUAUAUAAAAAGUAAAAUAAAAUCUCUACAUAAUAAAAAAAAAAACUUAAAAAUGGAGAGAAGUCCAACAAGGGUCUCACUCUGU